rnacentral:rRNA from 1 species
AACGAACGCUGGCGGCAUGCCUAACACAUGCAAGUCGAACGAGAAGUCCGGGUCUUGGGGCGCACGGGGGCGUAACGAGUGGGAACCUGCACGUAGGUUCGGAAUAACUCCCCGAAAGGGGUGCUAAUACAGGAUAAGGUCUUCGGACCAAAGAUUUAUUGCCUUUGGAUGGGCGCGGGUUGGAUUAGCUAGUUGGGAGUGUAAAAGCCUACCAAGGCGACGAUCCAUAGCUGGUCGGAGAGGAUGAUCAGCCACACUGGGACUGAGACACGGCCCAGCCUCCUACGCGAGGCUGCAGUGUGUUAUACUGUACACUGGGCGAAAGCCUGAUCCAGCAAUGCCGCGUAAGUGAUGAAGGCCUUAGUGUUGUAAAUCUCUUUUACCCGGGAUGAUAAUGACGGUACCGGGUGAAUAAGCUCCGGCUAACUCCGUG